rfam:Ornithorhynchus anatinus chromosome 4, whole genome shotgun sequence.
CCCCUCUCAGGAUCGCGCCUGGAGAGUUUCCUGUACUCUACCAGUCUCAGCAGCAGGAGGGAGAAUCAAGCAUGGACAUACCCAUUCCAUUCCUAGCUUGGGCAGUGGCUAGCGAGUGGAAGGCAACCUCCUACAAGU